ACAUCAGGAGGUUAGUGCAAAGGCAUAAGCUAGCUUGACUGCGAGAGUGACGGCUCGAGCAGGUGCGAAAGCAGGUCUUAGUGAUCCGGUGGUUCUGAAUGGAAGGGCCAUCGCUCAACGGAUAAAAGGUACUCCGGGGAUAACAGGCUGAUACCGCCCAAGAGUUCAUAUCGACGGCGGUGUUUGGCACCUCGAUGUCGGCUCAUCACAUCCUGGGGCUGAAGUAGGUCCCAAGGGUAUGGCUGUUCGCCAUUUAAAGUGGUACGCGAGCUGGGUUUAGAACGUCGUGAGACAGUUCGGUCCCUAUCUGCCGUGGGCGCUGGAGAAUUGAGGGGGGCUGCUCCUAGUACGAGAGGACCGGAGUGGACGCAUCACUGGUGUUCGGGUUGUCAUGCCAAUGGCAUUGCCCGGUAGC
rnacentral:rRNA from 1 species